rnacentral:rRNA from 1 species
UACGUAGGUGGCAAGCGUUGUCCGGAUUUACUGGGCGUAAAGAGCGCGCAGGCGGUCGUUCAAGUCGCGUGUGAAAGCCCCCGGCUCAACUGGGGAGGGUCACGCGAUACUGAUCGACUCGAAGGCAGGAGAGGGUAGUGGAAUUCCCGGUGUAGUGGUGAAAUGCGUAGAUAUCGGGAGGAACACCAGUGGCGAAGGCGGCUUCUUGGCCUGUUCUUGACGCUGAGGCGCGAAAGCUAGGGGAGCAAACGGG